CUGGCUCAGAACGAACGCUGGCGGCGUGCUUAACACAUGCAAGUCGAACGCGAAAGGGACUUCGGUCCUGAGUAAAGUGGCGCACGGGUGAGUAACGCGUAGAUAACCUGUCUUCAUGUCUGGAAUAAUACGCCGAAAGGGGUACUAAUGCCGGAUAUUCUUGCUUUUCAUAAGUUAUGCAAGCAAAGGUGGCCUCUGCAUAUGCUACUGCAUGAAGAGGGGUCUGCGUACCAUUAGCUAGUAGGUGGGGUAAUGGCCUACCUAGGCGACGAUGGUUAGCGGGUCUGAGAGGAUGAUCCGCCACUGGCACUGGAACACGGGCCAGACUCCUACGGGAGGCAGCAGUGAGGAAUAUUGCGCAAUGGGGGAAACCCUGACGCAGCGACGCCGCGUGAAGUGAGGAAGGCCUUCGGGUCGUAAAGCUCUGUCAAGAGGAAAGAAGUGUACAAUGGCUAAUACCUGUUGUAUUUGACGGUACCUCUAAAGGAAGCACCGGCUAACUCCGUGCCAGCCGCCGC
rnacentral:rRNA from 1 species